rnacentral:rRNA from 1 species
GACGGAGGAUGCAAGCGUUAUCCGGAAUGAUUGGGCGUAAAGCGUCCGCAGGUGGCAGUUCAAGUCUGCUGUCAAAGACCGGGGCUUAACUUCGGAAAGGCAGUGGAAACUGAACAGCUAGAGUAUGGUAGGGGCAGAGGGAAUUCCUGGUGUAGCGGUGAAAUGCGUAGAUAUCAGGAAGAACAUCGGUGGCGAAGGCGCUCUGCUGGACCAUAACUGACACUCAGGGACGAAAGCUAGGGUAGCAAAUGGG